AGAUGGCGGAGAGUAUAAUAAAUCUCACCCUAGAGAUCCUCCUCCGGCUUACUGGAGAGGACUACACAGUAGUGAAGAAGACCUCUAGUGAGCGCUGUCAGGCCCCCGUGUCUGAAGGAUGGGGAAGAACCCUAAGCCCAAUCAUGGGGCCUCGACUUCAACCCCUGAUACAUGAGGAAAUCAAUAGAGAGAAGAUCCUAGAACUCACCAACAAGAUGAUUGAGCUGCUGACUGGAGAGGUUCCUAUAAGGUGUCAGGAUGUCACCGUCUAUUUCUCCAUGGAGGAGUGG